rnacentral:rRNA from 1 species
CCUACGGGUGGCAGCAGUGAGGAAUAUUGGUCAAUGGACGCAAGUCUGAACCAGCCAUGCCGCGUGCAGGAAGACGGCUCUAUGAGUUGUACACUGCUUUUGUACGAGGGUAAACGCAGAUACGCGUAUCUGUCUGAAAGUAUCGUACGAAUAAGUAUCGGCUAACUCCGUGCCAGCAGCCGCGGUACUACGGAGGCUUCAAGCGUUCUCCGGAUGUAUUGGGUUUAAAGGUGGUGUAGGCGGUCGGAUAAGUUAGAGGUGAAAUCCCGAGGCUCAACUUCGGAAUUGCCUCGGAUACUGUUCGGCUAGAGAGUAGUUGCGGUAGGCGGAAUGUAUGGGGUAGCGGUGAAAUGCUUAGAGAUCAUACAGAACACCGAUUGCGAAGGCAGCUUACCAAGCUACUUCUGACGUUGAGGCACGAAAGCGUGGGGAGCAAACAGGAUUAGAUACCCCUGUAGUC